rnacentral:lncRNA from 1 species
AAUUAUAUUUAAUUACAAGUGUGCCCCUGGUAGUCUUUAACUGAAGGGCACUGACUGGGUCACUGGUGAAGUUCCCCGCAGGAACUGAGUCAGACCCCAUCUCAGGGCCCUGCACAAGAUAGGUGCCUGCUCUAAGGCGUGGACCCUCGCCACAGCCCUGGCCCGUCUUGACGGGCGAGGGUUACUGUACUUGUCCCAACCGUACAGAUGAGAAAGCUGAGACUCAGGGCCAGCAACCCGGGUCCCAGCGGAGCGCCCGGCACACGCCGACACUUCAGCACCAGUGGCGGUGGCCACCACUGUGGGCGGAGAUGGCUGCGACGCGUGCGCAGAUCUCGAUCCCAAACUCCCUCCUGCCAGAAUCUGGACCCGAAUCCACCCAUUGCCCGUUUUCCGCUGCCGCUGGAGAGAAUCUCUGAGGUCCCCAGGAGAGCCUGCCUGCACGGAAGAGACGCCUCCUCGGGAAAUUUGUGCACAGAGAUAACACAGGGGAUAUGCCAUAUGAAGAUGAAGGCAGAAUUCUACAAGCCCAGGGAUGCCAAAGAUUGCCAGCAAACCACCAGAAGCUAGGAGAGAAGUGUGGAUUAGAUUCUUCCUCACAGCCCUCAGAAGGAUCCAGCCCUGCCAAGAACUUGAUCUCAGACUUCUAGUCUCCAGAACUGUGAGACAGUGCAUUUUGUUUUGUAAGUCAGCCAUAUGGUUUGUGGCACUUUUUUAUGGCAGCCCUAGGAGAUGAAGACAAUAUGCAACAUGGUAUGUCCAUUAUAGGACACUGUGGGCCAUAAAUGUGUUCUUUGGCCUGAAGAAAUAAAACUUGGUGGUCCAA